rnacentral:lncRNA from 1 species
UUUGAUCAGCACCCGAAUCAAUCAAAACACGAGUAGUGAAUUUGAAUUCUUUAUUAACUACAAUAGUCAUAUUGCAGUACCAUUUCUGAAGUUGAAUUCGAUUAAUAACAUUAAUCUUUUCUUCUUCAGUUUGAGGGAAUUUUGAAGUAGAUGAAAAAUCAGAUGAAGAUGAUUCAGAAUGAUGAGAAUGAUAUGAAGGAGUUUUUGAG